rnacentral:tRNA from 1 species
CCUCCUUUCUAAGGAAGAUCCGGAGGGGCUAUUGCUCUUCUUGAUCAGCCAUAGACAAUGAAGACGCGCCGCCGCCGGCGCAUCCCUUCCGCGUCCGAUUUCUGGGGCGGAUCAGUCCGCGCUUUCUCGGGCUGGUAGCUCAGUUGGUUAGAGCGCGCGCUUGAUAAGCGUGAGGUCGGAGGUUCAAAUCCUCCCCGGCCCACCAUUUUGGGAGUCAGUAUCUGGGGACAGAGGAACAGAGGAUAAGAUGUCUGUUUUAUGCUCCCUGAUGUUCUGGGACCGGGGGUGUACCUCAGCUGGGAGAGCGCCUGCUUUGCAAGCAGGAGGUCGACGGUUCGAGCCCGUUCACCUCCACCAGUUUCGCGGUANCGCCUAGGUAAUCGGACGUGCGCAAGGAAUUGCGAGUGUAGCGUUGCUUUUUUUCGGGAUGUCGUGCGAUUGCGUCGCUUGGAAAAAAUGGGCGCGCUCACUGCUCUU